CGCGUUCGCUGCAUCGAGGCUUGACACAAGUGGGGAAACCCUGAUGCAGCCAUGCCGCGUGUGUGAAGAAGGCCUUCGGGUUGUAAAGCACUUUCAGUAGGGAGGAAGGUAGUGUAGUUAACACCUGCACUAUUUGACGUUACCUACAGAAGAAGCACCGGCUAACUCCGUGCCAGCAGCCGCGGUAAUACGGAGGGUGCGAGCGUUAAUCGGAAUUACUGGGCGUAAAGCGCAUGCAGGCGGCCUGUUAAGUCAGAUGUGAAAGCCCGGGGCUUAACCUCGGAAUUGCAUUUGAAACUGGCAGGCUAGAGUCUUGUAGAGGGGGGUAGGAAUUUCAGGUGUAGCGGUGAAAUGCGUAGAGAUCUGAAGGAAUACCAGUGGCGAAGGCGGCCCCCUGGACAAAGACUGACGCUCAGAUGCGAAAGCGUGGGGAGCAAACAGGAUUAGAUACCCUGGUAG
rnacentral:rRNA from 1 species